rnacentral:rRNA from 1 species
CCUACGGGGGACAGCAGUAGGGAAUAUUGCUCAAUGGGGGAAACCCUGAAGCAGCAACGCCGCGUGGAGGAUGAAGGUUUUCGGAUUGUAAACUCCUUUUGUUAGAGAAGAAAAUGACGGUAUCUAACGAAUAAGCACCGGUUAACUCCGUGCCAGCAGCCGCGGUAAUACGGCGGGUGCAAGCGUUACUCGGAAUCACUGGGCGUAAAGGGCGCGUAGGCGGGAUAGCAAGUCAGAUGUGAAAUCCUAUGGCUUAACCAUAGAACUGCAUUUGAAACUGUUAUUCUAGAGUAUGGGAGAGGUAGGUGGAAUUCUUGGUGUAGGGGUAAAAUCCGUAGAGAUCAAGAGGAAUACUCAUUGCGAAGGCGACCUGCUAGAACAUAACUGACGCUGAUGCGCGAAAGCGUGGGGAGCAAACAGGAUUAGAUACCCUGGUAGUC